CAUAGUAACAAUGAUGUUGUUAAGUAUCUAAAGAAAGUGGGAUACCACACCUUAAAAGCUAAGUGUUAAAGUCUGGUCAGUGGAGCCUCAGGCAGAGAAAAACAGCUUGCUGAGGAACAUAGUAACAAUGAUGUUGUUAAGUAUCUAAGGAAAGUGGGAAACCACAACUUAAAAGUUAGUUGUUAAGGGGGAAGAACCACUCUCCUUAUAUACAACAUCAAGCAUCCCAUACUACUCGAUGUGGGACUUUGAGCACCCAUAAUACCCAAGUCCCUAACAGAUGUUAAGACAGGAAUGGCUACUACUGUGCAGAAGCAUGAUGACGGAGAUCAAAUUCAAGCUUCAAGCAAUGAAGCAAGUGUCAUUGAGAAACAUGACCCUGAUAAAAAAUGUGAAGAACACCGAAAUACGCAAGAGGUGGAUCAAGUUCAAACUUCAGCCAAUGAAGCAAGUGUCACUGAGAAGCAUCCUUCUGAUAUUACAAGUGAAGAAUGCCGAAAUGCACAUGAAACAGAUCAAGUUCAAACUUCAACCAACAAAGAUAGUGUCACUGAGAAGCAUCACUCUGAUAUUAGAAGUGAAGAAUCCCAAAAGACACAUGAAACAGAUCAAGUUAAAACUUCAACCAACGAAGCAAGUAGAACUGAGAAGAGUCAUUCUGAUGUUAGAAGUGAAGAAUGCCAAAAUACACAUGAAGACGACCAAAUUCAAAGUUCAAUCAAUGAAGGAAGUGUCACUAGUAAGCAUGAUUCUGAUAUAAGAGGAGAACAACGCCAAAAUACACGAGUUCAACUGUGCAGAUCAUGAACAUGAUGUUAGAGGUGGCUUUGGUUCUAAUAGUGACGUUGGCACAGAAACAUCCAUGAUAAAAGGAGAUGCCAGAAGUACCAGCCAAUUCUCAAAACUGAGAGUUGUAGAGAUCGUAGUGAACAGAAUAUUGAUUUGAACGGAAGUGUCCCACUGGACAUGGACACUAGACAGUUUGAUGAGGGUAUAAAUGCACAAGAAACUGAGGAGCAUGCUCAAAGACCUGAUCACAAAGUUUUACAUUUAUUGCUACCAUAUUCUCCUAUAGAAACUGGUAAAACAACCAAGGAUAACAAAGCUGGAGAAGCAGUUAGAACAGCUGACCUUUUAACUCCUGAUGCUGCUGCAGCCGGACAGAAAGAACAGCAAGAAUUUUUGCAUCUGAUUUGAGGGAGCAGUUUGGAGUUUCUGCAUAUGAUUGUGACAAACAGAAUGUAUUUAUAUGGUUCAUCUGACUCAGAUACUACUAAUAUUUGUGGCAACAAUGAUAGAGUCAAUGCAGAAGCUAGAUCAAUAUCUUAUAGAAACUCAGGGUAAUUCCCAUGGUGAGAAGAAUCAUAACCAGGAUGGAUGCUAUGUACGGAGGUGAUGAAUCAACAGAAGAAAACUGGACCUCUUUUAAAGUUGGGGAUUGUGUAUAUGUAUAUACAUACCUACAUAUAUACAUACGCGGGAAUGUUCUAUCAAAGCAAGUAAUAUGCUGAACGAGGCAUACAUGUAACAAUAAACAUGGCUACUUGACAGGGCAUGUACCUGCUUUAAGAAUCACAAAAGGAGGGCUUUUCUACUUUACGUGUCCUAUUUGAUUAUGUUAUAAGUUUAGACGGUUUUAGUAGUUUCCUAUAUGGGUUAGGAACACAACCUUCUGACUCUUUAAGCACUUACUAUUACUGUAAAGCUUAUAUUAGUAGAUAAUCAAGUAAAAAUCAUUGUAAGCGUCCUUGAGCAAUGUCCUAGCCUAGUGAGAUGGCCAACUUAAUCAACCUAAGUAAACUUUUUCCAAUAAACAAAAAAACUAAUUGUAUAGGUGCAACACCAAUGAUAUUGGAUCUGAACAGCACGACUCCCAAUAGUGUUUUGCAGCCGCCAGAGGUGUCAUGGCAGCAGCCUUCCGGUGGAGAAGCCUUGCUACGGAAGCUGAGGUAAUGUUGACGAAGGAAUUUGAUUGAAAACCUUUCCCACCCAUGGAAAAGAAUGGCACAGGCAGUUAUUAAUUAUUAGUUUAUUACCACUUCGUAAUAUAUCUGGUCCUGGUUCAUGACCUUUCCUUUUAGAAAGAAAGAGAAUAUGCUAUUAACCUUUAUGUAUUCUUUUUUGCAUAUAUUAUUUUGUAAUCUUAAUAUAAAACAAAAGCAUAUGCUAACCUUAACUACUAUCUAUACCAUUGGAUGGAUUCCAAAACAAAUGUAUAAUUUAAAGAUAAUUCUUGUUUGCAUUGUUUUGUAAGCUAAAAUCUCAUGGAUAAUGUAUGAUUCAUGGAACUAGCAUGAGUCUAAAGAGUCCAUUGAAAAAUUUAACCUUGAUCAGUUAGAAGAAUUGCAGCAAAUUUGUGGAUCAAAUACAAAGCCUGCCAUGGGAAAUGAUCAUAGUAGUUGCAGGGCUCAAGGAGCAGCCCUACAAAAUCGAAUAGAUUGGCUUCAGAGGUUAGUUAAUGAAAGAUCUCAGCAGAUCAAUACCUUGGAGUCCAUGCUGGGAAAUGUUAGGCAACAGUUAGCUCUCUCUGAUGAUAAGGUUCGCCAGUUGGAAGCUGAGUUAAGCAAGGCGAAGCUGAUCGCUGCGAAUGGAACAAAGGCAAUCAAUCUGAUAUUUUGUUUUAUUUUUUUAAUUGACGCAAGCUGAUUUGUUGUAUUAUUCUUCAUAAACGCUAAUUUGUGGAGCAGAAAGUAGAAGAACUUGAACAAGAAACAGGAAGACUAAGGAGAGAACUUGAGAGUGAAAAGGUAAUGUUAUUUAUUUGCUUCUAGUGAGAUUUGCAAAGGAAUUCAUUGAUAAUAUGUUGCCACUUCAACUUUCUAAUUGAUUCUUUUUCUUUAUUUUUCUAUGUUAUAUUCUUCCUCCUUUGUUAUGUUUCUCUAUUCGAAUGUCCUUGGCUGGCGAACGGAAAGCAACUGAGCGAUCAGCUGCUUUCAACUGCUACUUUGUUGUUGGGGCUACAAGUGGAAAUAAGACAACUUUCUAAUGAUGCUGUAACAAGAGAAAAAGAACUACAAGAAGCAACUGAAAAGCUUCAGG